rnacentral:rRNA from 1 species
UACAGAGGUCUCAAGCGUUGUUCGGAUUCAUUGGGCGUAAAGGGUGCGUAGGCGGCGCGGUAAGUCGGGUGUGAAAUCUCGGAGCUUAACUCCGAAACUGCAUUCGAUACUGCCGUGCUUGAGGACUGGAGAGGAGACUGGAAUUUACGGUGUAGCGGUGAAAUGCGUAGAGAUCAUGAAGAAGACCAGUGGCGAAGGCGGGUCUCUGGACAGUUCCUGACGCUGAGGCACGAAGGCCAGGGGAGCAAACGGG